UAAGGACCCCCUGGCGUCUUGAGAUCUUCCAGGCGGGUCCUUCCAGAGACAAAUCAAUGUCAACUGUGCCACCAGCAGUUGUUCGACCAAAUAUAUCGAACAAGCCUUCCACGGAGUACGGCAAGAGUCUGCGCGUCGAAAUCUGGAGGACUGAUGCCCGUUACAGCCUCGACGAGGACUUGCCAGCGUCCGACUUCAUUCUCCAACUGUUUUAUCUCCGUUUUGGCCAACCUAUGAGUAAGAAAACAAACGUUUGAAGAUUGAACGAGUGGAAGCAAGACAGCUGUUAUAUAUUACCGAUCAUUUUGUGCUAAUUCGGCUUCGAGAACUUCGUCACGUUCCGUGCUCACCAGUUCAGAAUCGCGUAAUAAUUCGUCGGCGUCAGUGAACGAGACGACGUGAUCACUUUUAGGGAGUGGUUGAACUAAGGAACCCAACAUAUUCCCCAUUAUUAAUCUUUCCUUGUUAAUUAAAACAGAGAAACUUACCAGACUGAUCAGGUAGCAAGUGAUACUGUUUCAUAAGUUGCCAAUGGGCUUGAAGUGCUUGAGCUGUACGGGCCGCGUG